CAGGUUUUAGGGAUUUUUCUCUGCCAUGUCUUUAGUGGAUUCAGCUGCGAGAAGUUCCCGGGGCUUCAGUAACAACCAUCUCUCCAGGCUUCAUCAGUGAUGGGAGCACACGGUUUGGUCAUUCCCAGAGAUCUGCUACAGAGAAAAGGACACGCACCCCUGGCUGAUCCGGACUCACCUCCUGGGCGUCUGUGGAAGUCUGCUUCUGGACGAAGGGGAAGCGGGUGUCGAGCCUCUUCCUGGUGUCUGCCGGGCGACCGCAGCGCUCCUGGAGCCCGAGCAUGACGCCCUGUUGUUGGGAGCGGGCGACUGCACCCUCCUCAGCCCUCCCUGGGCACUCGCUGGCCCUUUGGCCUGCUGUCGCAGCGCAGACAUGGAGCUGACGGAGCCCAGGGCUUUCAUGGGAGCCCGCAGAUAGAGAGGGGACUGGCCCUCAGCCCGCUUCCUCACAGAUGACACACCUACAACAGCAGACAACCACACACACUCCAGUCAAAUCCACAGCAGGGACGUUAACACGGAAGAUAUACGAGACCAUGCAUUUUACCCAACGGGCUAAAGACUUACACACUGACAAAACAAAACAAGAAACCGGUUCAGAAUCACAAGACAUUAUUCAGCCCAUGCAAGCAGAAACCUGGCCCUUGUUUUAAAGACGUGUGCAGAAUGUUUCUAAAUGGGUUUCCAAAAUACUCCUACAAAUCAUUUUGAAAACAUCCUUCUGCAUAAUUAUUUUUUUCCUGAAUGUAUCCUUUUUUUUUUUUUUUUUUACAGUUAUCUUAAAUUGAAACGCAAACAUCUACAGGACAUCCACAAAAACCCCCAAUGUUUCAGAAAUACAGAGACACUUUUGGAAAAUGCACGUGUUUGUGUGUGUGUGUGUGUGUGUGUGUGUGUGUGUGUGAGAGAGAGAGAGAGAUUCCAGGAAUUCACAAACACAAUGAUGUAAUUCAGUAAUGCAAUUACAACAAAGCAGUUAUAUGAUUUGUGCCUUUAAUAAAUGCAUAUUUAAUACGA